GGGAGGUGCUCACACAGCUGCUCACAGCUGGAGCACUGGUGGUUCAGUGGUAGAAUUCUCGCCUGCCACGCUGGAGUCCCGGGUUCGAUUCCCGGCCAAUGCAGCAGCAGCAGCAAACUUUUUUUUUAUCAUCCUAAGAGACUGGAUUUGACAUUUCACACUGCCCACAGCAUUGGGGAUACAGUCUGAAAAACCUAGAAUGACUUUUUUCUAGCUUGAGUUUUCCACGCCUGUUCCCUAAGUUCCACAGAGAUCUAGAUCUUGUGCCCCUGGUUCUUGAGGAGUCCAGGAUGUGGGGAUCACCGAAGCCGCUGCAAGCAGCUGUGCCUCCCCUCCUGCCCAGACAGGCUGCCCGGGGACUCUGACCGCGCUGCCCCUGGGGAAGCCAGGCCGUGUGUGUUUCUGCUCCGUCCGCGUUAGAGCAGCCCUGAGAGUGGGAGUAACGACAUUCACGAGGCUCCAGCAGGGCAGCAAAGGAGACCCAGCCCUGCCAGCAGCGCAGCCCAGCCUGGACCACCUCCUCGCCUGUCUCCUUGUUUCAGGUCACAAACGGUCCCUGAGCCACCGGAAAGGGCCCUCCUCCCCACUUGAGAGACGGCACAGGGGACGCAUUCCCUGCCCCUGAGGAGUUCUCUGCCAGAAUCCCGUGGAGGGGAAACAAGAGAGGCCUCAAGGACUUUUGUGCAAAACAGAAAAAAACUCUGGUGAGGACAGUGCAAGCUCCACAGCUCCUUGCCAGCGUCCCUGAGGACAGACUGGUGUCACGAUCCUCUGCCUCUUGAGCGCCAGCCCUCUCCCCGCGUCUAGAGCUCCCCACACAGGCACAGGCAGAGAAAAAGCAACUACAAAGGGAAGCAGAGGAAGUGAAGUUUGAAAUCCGGGCGCCCCCAGUUCCAGGCUAGUGUCUCUUCAAAAGAACACCCCGUCUCCUCUUUCAUCUCCACAUUUUGAGCCACAGCUGGGGGAUCUCAACUAGUUCUGAAGUUAAUAUUUGGCCCAGAAACUUAUGAUCACAAACCCCAGUGACCUUUGCUGACAUUAGGGUCACAUGCAUCGCUGUUCUAUGUCCCAGAGAAGAGAUCUGCUUCGUUCCUCUAAGAACUCUGGCUGACGAAGUAUCCUCUAGAGAUUGCUCAGAGCCUCCAUUCUCAACUAGUCAGAGGUGUCGCAGGGUGGCAGGAACACCCAUUCCCCAGGAGGCACAAUGCCCAGUGCUGGCCAACUCCAAGCUCUCGACACUGCUCUCAGCUUCACAAAGUGCCACACCCACUACCUUGUCCCUGAUGGAGAAGAAGCCACAGACAGGCCAGGAUCUGUCUUUCACCCAAGGAGAACCUGGGGCCUUGUCUCAGCAACACAACUGAGACAGGAAAGGGGUGCAGGGCACAACCUUUACAAGAAUGACAUAGCCAUUGAGGACAUGACAUAAACUGGUUAGAACCAACUAGGUCCAAGAUGGCAGAUGAUUGACUUCCACUAACCUUGAGCCUCAGUACAGGCUCACUAACACAUCAGCAAGCUCAAUGACACACCCACAGGCGCCAUGUCAAUUCCGAGGCCGACAGUAAAAGGCCAAAAGUGGGCGGUGGCUCAAUUCCUGGAAUAAGCCUCUCACUCGUAAGCCUAUGAAAUUACCCACCCCUAUAAAAACUGACAAUCCCAUACCCUGGGGCCUCUCUCACCUUCCGAGAUGGCCCACACUCUGUCUGUGGAGUGUGUAUCUCCCUGAAUAAACCUUCUUUCACUUUACUAUGGCUCGCUCUUCAAUUCUUUCCUGCAUGAAGACAAGAACCCACAUUCGG